rnacentral:rRNA from 1 species
AUUGAACGCUGGCGGCAUGCUUUACACAUGCAAGUCGGCCGAGUGGCGAACGGGUGAGUAACGCAUCGGAACGUACCUAGUAAUGGGGGAUAACUACCAGACAGGACAGCUAAUACCGCAUAUUAUCCGCUCGGCCGCGGUUGGAUUAGCUGGUUGGCGGGGUAAAGGCCCACCAAGGCGACGAUCAGUAGCGGGUCUGAGAGGAUGAUCCGCCACACUGGGACUGAGACACGGCCCAGACUCCUACGGGAGGCAGCAGUGGGGAAUUUUGGACAAUGGGCGCAAGCCUGAUCCAGCCAUGCCGCGUGUGUGAAGAAGGCCUUCGGGUUGUAAAGCACUUUCAGUGGGGAGGCGUUACCCGCAGAAGAAGCACCGGCUAACUCCGUGCCAGCAGCCGCGGUAAUUC